GUGCCAGCCGCCGCGGUAAUACUGGCAGCUCGAGUGAUGUCCAAUAUUAUUGGGCCUAAAGCGUCCGUAGCUGGCCGCGCAAGUCCGUCGGGAAAUCCACCUGCCCAACGAGUGGGCGUCCGACGGAAACUGCACAGCUUGGGACCGGAAGGCUCGAAGGGUACGUUCGGGAUAGGAGUGAAAUCCUAUAAUCCCGCACGGACCACCGAUGGCGAAAGCACUUCGAGAAAACGGAUCCGACAGUGAGGGACGAAAGCCAGGGUCUCCAACCGGAUUAGAAACCCUUGUA
rnacentral:rRNA from 1 species